GGACUAUUCAAAGGGAAAGAAGUGGAAGUAGCAUUUGUUAAAAGCAUAAAGAGUGUGCUAAACCUGACAAAACACACUUUACAGCUAUUACUAAAUCUAAUAGUCACAACAGCCUCAUGGGACAAACAAUGUCAUUUCUGCUUUCCAGACGGGAAACCGGGAAGUCCGAAGGGUGGGUGCGGGGACAGGGCUUAGCAAGGUCCUAUCCGUGUAAGAAGAAAGCUCAUAGUCUUGCCGCUCACUAAGUCCUAUGGAGUGAAGACAGCUUAGAAAAGGACAUGUCACAUGCACUGAGCUCCAGAAAGAUCACCCUGAUCCCCAGAUGGAUCUCCCACUUUCCUUCUGGCUGACAUUCAGGCAACUCGUUUCUCAGCCUCGGUUCCCUCAUCUAUAACGUGGGAAUAAGAAGAUGUAUUCGAGAGGCGUUUAAACAGUGCAAGAUUCUUGAAGCUUCUGCACAUCACUCUUACAAAUGUCAGAGCGUUUUACUUACAGCUUCAGAGAGGGGCUUAAUGGGAAACACAACUGGAAAGCCUCAGGAAACUUACAAUCAUGGUGGAAGGCGAAGGGGAAGCAAGCAUGUCUUACCAUGAUGGCUGGAGGGCGGUGGAUGGUCAGGGGGACUGCUGCACACUUUUAAACUAUCAAAUCUCCUAAGAACUCACUCACUAUCAAGAGAACAGCAAGGGGGAGUCCGCCCCCAUGGUUCAACGACCUCCCUCCAGGCCCCUCCCCUGACGUGGGGAUUACAACUUGAGAUGAGAUUUGGGUGGGUACACAGAAGCAAACUAUAUCACUGGGCAUUGGGAAAUUUAAGCAAAGAACAGAGGAUGAGAGGUGAGAAGUCACAUUAAAAAAUUGAAUUGCAAAUCAUUCCAGUCUUCUUGUGAAAACUAUUCCCCGCCCCAAGACAGAGUCUCACUCUGUCACCCAAGCAGCUGGAGUGCAGUGGCACAAUCUCGGCUCACUGCAGCCUCCAUCUCCAGGACUGAAGCAAUUCUCUUGCCUCAGCCUUCCAAGUAGCUGGGAUUACAGGUGCAUGCCACCACGCCUGGCUAAGAUUUUGUAUUUUUAGUAGAGACAGGGUUUCACCAUAUUGGCCAGGCUGAUCUUGAACUCCCAAUUUCAUGAUCCACCUGCCUCAGCCUCCCAAUGUGUUGGGAUUACAGUCGUGAGCCACCACGCCUGGCCAUGAAAACUAUUCUUUACUUGAUGGUUCUCCAGUACUCUUUUCUUUGGUGAAAAGGGGACUUCUUCAUUCCAUUUAGCUGUCACUAACCAAGGUUAUUCAAG
rnacentral:lncRNA from 1 species